GCAUAUCAAUAAGCGGAGGAAAAGAAACUAACAAGGAUUCCCCUAGUAGCGGCGAGCGAACCGGGAUGAGCUCAAAUUUGUAAUCUGGCGUCCUCCGGGCGUCCGAGUUGUAAUCUAUAGAAGCGUCUUCCGUGCCGGACCGCGUCCAAGUCCCUUGGAACAGGGCGUCAAAGAGGGUGACAAUCCCGUGCUUGAUGCGACGACCGGUGCACUGUGAUACGCUCUCUACGAGUCGAGUUGUUUGGGAAUGCAGCUCAAAGUGGGUGGUAAAUUCCAUCUAAAGCUAAAUAUUGGCGAGAGACCGAUAGCGAACAAGUACCGUGAGGGAAAGAUGAAAAGCACUUGGAAAGAGAGU
rnacentral:rRNA from 1 species